rnacentral:rRNA from 1 species
CAGAAACUUAAAGGAAGUUGACGGGGGCCCGCGACAAGCGGUGGAGUAUGUGGUUAAUUCGAUGCAACGCGAAGAACCUUACCUGGUCUUGACAUCCCGGAGACCCUUAGGAAACUAGGGGUGCUUCCAUCUGGAAGAAUCUGGAGACAGGUGCUGCAUGGCUGUCGUCAGCUCGUGUCGUGAGAUGUUGGGUUAAGUCCCGCAACGAGCGCAACCCUUGCCUUUAGUUGCCAGCAGUUCGGCUGGGCACUCUAAAGGGACUGCCGGUGUUAAACCGGAGGAAGGUGGGGAUGACGUCAAGUCCUCAUGGCCUUUAUGACCAGGGCUACACACGUACUACAAUGGCCGAUACAAAGGGCAGCGACACUGCGAGGUGAAGCCAAUCCCGUAAAAUCGGUCUCAGUCCGGAUUGGAGUCUGCAACUCGACUCCAUGAAGUUGGAAUCGCUAGUAAUCGUGGAUCAGCAUGCCACGGUGAAUACGUUCCCGGGCCUU